CAGCCGUAAACUAUGCUCGCUAGGUUUCAGGCAUGGCGCGACCGUGUCUGGUGCCGCAGGGAAGCCGUGAAGCGAGCCACCUGGGAAGUACGGCCGCAAGGCUGAAACUUAAAGGAAUUGGCGGGGGAGCACAACAACGGGUGGAGCCUGCGGUUUAAUUGGACUCAACGCCGGACAACUCACCGGGGACGACAGCAAUAUGUAGGCCAGGCUGAAGACCUUGCCUGAAUCGCUGAGAGGAGGUGCAUGGCGUAGACGUCU
rnacentral:rRNA from 1 species